UUAAAAUUUAAUUUUUAAAAUUAUGAGUGGUUUUAGUUAAUUAUUUUUAGUACCAUUAGUAUAAUGUUUUAAUCAAAAAAAAAAUGUUAUUUUUUUAUUAAUCUUCUUUUGAAGUUUUUUAUACUUAAUUUUUUUGUAUUAUUGAAAUUUAUAUGCAAAUUUUAGUUUAAUUUAAAAAGAAUUUUAAAUAAAUUUAUUUAAUUGAAAUUAGUUCGCAGUAAAAAAGUUUAAAUAAUUUAAUAAUUUAAGAUUUAUUUAAAAUAUUUAAUAUUGACAAAAUUUGUGCCAGCAGUUGCGGUUAUACAAGUAAUAUAACAAAAAAUGUUUGGUGUUUACUUAAUGAAAAUAUAAAAUUUAAAUUUUAUUUUAUAAGGUGAAAUUUUAAAAUAAAAUUAAUUUAUUUUUUGUUUAUGAGGUUAAUAAAUUUAAAAUUUAAACUAGGAUUAGAUACCCUAUUAUUUUGAAUAAAUAUUUUUACCAGGUUAGUAGUAGUUAUGUUCUUGAAAAUUAAAGAAGAUGGCGGUAUUUUAGUCUAUUCAGAGGAACCUGUCCUAUAAUUGAUGGUCCACGAGUUAAUAAACUUAUUUUCUAAGUUUGCAUAUCGCCGUAGAUUGAAUAUUCUUUAAGGAAUAAUAACGUUCAAGAAGUUUAUUUAAGUAGAAAAUAAAUCAGGUCAAGAUGUAGCUGAUGAAUAAGAAGAGAUGGGUUACAAUAAAUUUAUUUAUAAUGGAUUAAUGAAUGAAAAUUCUUAUGAAGGUGGAUUUGAAGGUAAUUUUAUAAAAAUUUAUAAGAUGAUUUUAGUUCUAAAAUAUGUACAUAUCGCCCGUCGCUUUCAUUAUAAAGUGGAAUAAGUCGUAACAUAGUAGAUGUACUGGAAAGUGUAUCUGGAAAGGU
rnacentral:ncRNA from 1 species